rnacentral:rRNA from 1 species
CCUGUUUAUCAAAAACAUUUCUAAUUAUUAAAUUAGUAGGCCCCUGCUCACUGAUUUCAAGAGCCGCAGUAUAUUAACUGUGCUAAGGUAGCAUAAUAAUUAGGCUUUUUAUUGGAGUCUAGGAUGAAGGGGUUGAUGAUUUUUUGACUUUCUGAUCUAAGAGAAGAAGUUUAUUUUUAAGUCAAAAAGCUUAGCUUACUAGAGGGACGAUAAGACCCUAUAAAGCUUUACUUCGGGCAAUUUUCAAUAAAUUUAAAGAAGUUAAGCUGGGGCGGCAAAUAAUAUCCUUUAAUUUAUUAAACGAGUUAUCCGAGGAUAAAGAUCUAGAAAGAGUUAGAAUAAGCUACUUUAGGGAUAACAGCGUGAUUUUUCUAAAGAGAUCUUAUUAACAGGAAAGACUUACGACCUCGAUGUUGAAUUGAGGGGCCUAGAUUAAGCAGAUAUAAUCUAAGGGAGUCUGUUCGACUUUUAAAUCCUCACGUGAUCUGAGUUAGACC